rnacentral:sRNA from 1 species
GUGACGGGCCGUGGGGUGUGCAUCUCCACUGCGGCUGUUGGCACAGCCGCCCUCUCUUGUUCCCCCAGCUGCAGCUGUACUGGCUCCGCUGCCUCUCUUGCAAGCUGCUCUUGAUCCGCCCACUCAGCAACAGCUCUUUCUUCCACUUCUUGUUGAAGACACGCCUCUCCAGCCGCGUGCUCAACAGCUGCCCUUUCCUCGGCGUCCUUUUGAAUCUGUUCCUGUUUAGCUCUCUUGACAUUGCAGCUUCUUCCGCAUCUCGCCUCUGCCGUUCUUGUUCCGCGGCAUAUCGUUCAGCGGCCGCUCUUGCCUCCUCCUCUUCCUGCCUCAGUUGUUCUUGUCGAAGCUGUUCUUGUUCCACAGCAUAUCAUUCAGCGGCCGCUCUUGCCUCCUCCUCCUGCCUCAGCUGUUCCUGUUCCGCAGCAUAUCGUUCAGCAGCCGCUCUUGCCUCCUCCUCUUCCUGCCUCAGUUGUUCUUGUCGAAGCUGUUCUUGUUCUGCAGCAUAUCGUUCAGCGGCCGCUCUUGCCUCCUCCUCCUGCCUCAGCUGUUCCUGUUCCGCGGCAUAUCGUUCAGCGGCCGCUCUUGCCUCCUCCUCUUCCUGCCUCAGUUGUUCUUGUCGAAGCUGUUCUUGUUCCGCAGCAUAUCGUUCAGCGGCCGCUCUUGCCUCCUCCUCUUUCUGCCUCAGUUGUUCUUGUCGAAGCUGUUCUUGUUCUGCAGCAUAUUGUUCAGUGGCCGCUCUUGCCUCCUCCUUCUGCCUCAGCUGUUUCUGUUCCACGGCAUAUCAUUCAGCGGCCGCUCUUGCCUCCUCCUCUUCCUGCCUCAGUUGUUCUUGUCGAAGCUGUUCCUGUUCCACAGCAUAUCGUUCAGCGGCCAAUUUUUCCUCUUCCUGCUGGCGAAGCUGUUCUAGUUCCACAGCAUAUUGUCUUUCCUCCUCCUGCCUCAGUUGUUCUUGUCGAAGCUGUUCUUGUUCUGCAGCAUAACACUCAGUGGCUGCUCUUUCUUCAGCUUCCUUCUGAAAUUGAGCAAGUCUCAAGGCAGCCUCAGCGGCUGCCAUCUCUUCAGCCUUCUUUUGACACUGAGCUUCAUCAGCAGUCUGUUUUUGUGCUUGUUCAUUCUGCAAGGCAAUCUCCCAUUCUUCUCUGCAGACUUCAGUUUCUUCUGCAGUUGCCCUCUCUGCCACCUCUAGCUGCAUUGAGCUUCACUUGCUGUGGUCAGUGGUAUAACCAUCAUUUGCCUGCAAAGAAAGCUGUCCAAAUCCUGCAAGUGAACUGUCACCAGGCAUGAGAAGCAGUGAUAUUGACAAAUUGAGCAGAUCACUUGCUGAAGAGGCUGAUCCAACCCAAGUAUGUUGAAGAGAUGGAGAUAUCAGUGGCUUGUCAAAAAAAACAAAAUAGAUACAUUGUCUCACAAACAAUGUAGAGAUCUUUCCAUUCACUGACAUUUCAUUGAUAUGCAGUUGAUCAAGAAAGAGAAACUGACAGUCUUACUGCUGCACUCUGACAUAUGAAAGCUCACACUGAGUAUUUAGCUUAGUUUUGCUGUCAGAGGUGAAAUUGUAAAAGAGCUGAUGCUCAACAGAGAUAGCAAGAGAGAAGCAUUCUGUGAUGCAGUCAAUAAAAGUCUCAAAUAUUUCACUGUUGUAUUGAAACUGCUCUGAAUUCUGUGCUUUCAGAAGAACAGUCUGUGUGAUCUGACAAUUGAAAAAUAGCUCAAUG